GAUGAACGCUGGCGGCGUGCUUAACACAUGCAAGUCGAACGGAAAGGCCCAAGCUUGCUUGGGUACUCGAGUGGCGAACGGGUGAGUAACACGUGGGUGAUCUGCCCUGCACUUCGGGAUAAGCCUGGGAAACUGGGUCUAGUGCCGGAUAGGACCACUUCUUGGAUGUUGUGGUGGAAAGUUUUUUCGGUGUGGGAUGAGCUCGCGGCCUAUCAGCUUGUUGGUGGGGUAAUGGCCUACCAAGGCGUCGACGGGUAGCCGGCCUGAGAGGGUGUACGGCCACAUUGGGACUGAGAUACGGCCCAGACUCCUACGGGAGGCAGCAGUGGGGAAUAUUGCACAAUGGGCGCAAGCCUGAUGCAGCGACGCCGCGUGGGGGAUGACGGCCUUCGGGUUGUAAACUCCUUUCGCUAGGGACGAAGCGUUUUGUGACGGUACCUGGAGAAGAAGCACCGGCUAACUACGUG
rnacentral:rRNA from 1 species